GUUUUCUACAUUCCUGUAUCUGAAUUUAGGCUCUUACAACCUAUUUAGUUUCAGAACUUAAGUUUACAGAGAGGCAUUCAAGGUACCAAUUCUGAGAAGGAAUUCAGUGAGAUGGGAAAUCUCUGCCCAACCUACAUAAAGGAGGAAAAAAAGAUGAAAAAGGAAAAGUUGCCAACCUUAAAGAAAGCAGGGUCCCACAAAAUUAUUUGAGCAUCAGGAUACACAAAAUCUGGAUCUGGCCCUCACUGAAUGGGCCUUCGCUGAAAUGGAUGGAAGCAACCAGGCAUGUCCCGAUACUUACCAUUAUUUGCAAGCACAUAAUGGAUGGAUGUACAAUUUUAAAGCUUUAGUUAAAACUGCAAAAGGCUGGACUUUACUCCAGUAUGUUCAUGUGGUUUUGUUUGUUUGGUUUUUGAGGAGAUUUUUGUGAAGGCCAGAAAGGGAGGAUACCUAUAGCUAAGACUACUAGCCAUCUCAGAGUCAGAGGGCUCAUCUUCCUGGAUGAGCUGAUUAUAUUUCUCAUGCUCCAUUGCAGUUCAGUGUGAUCAUGUGAAUGAAUUCUAGCCAAUGGAAUGUGGGCAGACUCAUUGUAUACCCAGACCUCAGCCAUGAAAACCUGCACAGGAGCCACCGUUGUUUUUCCUCCCACCAGCUCAAAGCACAUGAGCAGUGACCUUGCAAACCACUGUGGAACAGGCAGAGCAGGAAAUGGAAGGAAGCCAGGUCCCUGAACCAGCGCUUGAAAGAAAACCAAAUUUGAAUGCCC
rnacentral:lncRNA from 1 species